ACUGGGUGCAGUGGCGCACACCUGUAAUCCCAGCAGCUCAGGAGGCUGAGGCAGGAGGAUCUCAAGUUCGAAGCCAGCCUCAGCAAAGCAAGGCACUAAGCAACUCAAGAGACUCUGUCUCUA
rnacentral:sRNA from 1 species